rnacentral:tRNA from 2 species
AGCUCUAUCGCCAAAAGGUAAGGCACAGGGCUUUGAUCCCUGCACUUGCCGGUUCGAAUCCGGCUAGAGCUG